UACGGGGGGAGCAAGCGUUGUUCGGAUUUACUGGGCGUAAAGGGCGCGUAGGCGGUCAGCACAAGUCAGUUGUGAAAUCUCCGGGCUUAACUCGGAAAGGUCAACUGAUACUGUGCGACUAGAGUGCAGAAGGGGCAACUGGAAUUCUCGGUGUAGCGGUGAAAUGCGCAGAUAUCAGGAGGAACACCAAUGGCGAAGGCAGCUCGCUGGGACGUGACUGACGCUGAGACGCGAAAGCGUGGGGAGCAAACAGG
rnacentral:rRNA from 1 species